AGCCUCAUUCUAGAUUAGAAUGGGCACUGUUUGUUAGUGUUCAGAAUUCGUCAGGGUAGCUAAAAUUGAGACACAGGUCCUGCUUCCAUCACAGUAAAUGUAUUACAGUGGUGACAAUGAGACCUGUAACAUUU
ensembl:snoRNA